rnacentral:rRNA from 1 species
GACAGAGGGUGCAAACGUUGUUCGGAAUUACUGGGCGUAAAGCGCGUGUAGGCGGCUAAGUAAGUCGGGCGUGAAAUCCCACGGCUCAACCGUGGAAGUGCACUCGAAACUGCAUAGCUAGAGUCCUGGAGAGGAAGGUGGAAUGCUUGGUGUAGAGGUGAAAUUCGUAGAUAUCAAGCAGAACACCUGCGGCGAAGGCGGCCUUCUGGACGGUGACUGGCGCUGAGACGCGAAAGCGUGGGGAGCAAACAGG